CGCAGGCAUGCGCGGGGGUACACUCCAGGUCGCCUUGAGAGGUGGCAGCACCCCGUCGGGGGUGCGGGAUCCUAGAGCCCGGGGCCUGCGUUUCU
rnacentral:sRNA from 12 species